rnacentral:lncRNA from 1 species
UUGUUAAGUAAAGCAAAUCGUGCAUAUUGCAGAGUAACAAAGCAAAUAAGCACGUUUUAAUAAUUGGUAUUUCAAUAUUGUAUUUAUCUGUGAAAUAUAUGCAUUAAAAACGAACAAGAAUUAAUGACAAUUGAUCGGAACUGAAAUACACAUAGUUAAUUUUCCGGCAUUUGAUUCUUAUCCUGGACGAGAAAACUCUGUAAUUCUUUAUCUCAUUGAAGCCAAUAGCUGUUGUUGUAUCUCA